rnacentral:tRNA from 1 species
UAAGCUUUAAGUUAAGUAAACUAUUAACCUUCAAAGUUAAAAUUACAUUUAUUGUAAGCUUAA